ACGGGUGAGUAACGCGUGGGAACGUACCUUUUGGUUCGGAACAACUGAGGGAAACUUCAGCUAAUACCGGAUAAGCCCUUACGGGGAAAGAUUUAUCGCCGAAAGAUCGGCCCGCGUCCGAUUGGCUAGUUGGUGAGGUAAUGGCUCACCAAGGCGACGAUCAGUAGCUGGUCUGAGAGGAUGAUCAGCCACAUUGGGACUGAGACACGGCCCAAACUCCUACGGGAGGCAGCAGUGGGGAAUAUUGGACAAUGGGCGAAAGCCUGAUCCAGCCAUGCCGCGUGAGUGAUGAAGGCCCUAGGGUUGUAAAGCUCUUUUGUGCGGGAAGAUAAUGACGGUACCGCAAGAAUAAGCCCCGGCUAACUUCGUGCCAGCAGCCGCGGUAAUACGAAGGGGGCUAGCGUUGCUCGGAAUCACUGGGCGUAAAGGGUGCGUAGGCGGGUUCUUAAGUCAGAGGUGAAAUCCUGGAGCUCAACUCCAGAACUGCCUUUGAUACUGAGAGUCUUGAGUAUGACAGAGGUGAGUGGAACUGCGAGUGUAGAGGUGAAAUUCGUAGA
rnacentral:rRNA from 1 species